AAAGUCUUCGUGUGCCCGGCACCCAGUGUGGGAUGUGCUUCGUAGAGGUCUGGUAAACUUGAAAUGAAUGGCUGCUUGAGGGAUCCUGGCUUCUGACAUUAAUGCCAUAAAACAUUGCACCGACUGAGAUACAAUGCUGCCAGUACAGACCAAGGCCCAGGACACAGCCGUGUGCCUCUGCAUAACCCACUGUGACGUGCGUAGUGAACGCUUUUGUGUCUCCGUGUCAUCCUGCUGUCUUGCCGGGGCUCUUAGCUCAACCAUGUAUCUGCGAGGCUCCUCUAGUUGGCAUAUGGGAGGCCACCUUGACCACUCUCCAUACUGUUUGGGUUCUAUGGUAUGAAGACACUCUACAAGGUGGGCCACUUCCAAACAGUUGAAGGCCUGAGUAGCACAAGAGUAGCCUUUACCUACCAAACAAGAGAGAAGUCUCCAGCAGAUGGACUUUGGACUACAUCUACACCUUCGGCUCUUGACAGCCUGCAGACCAGACCCGCCUCAUCAGCUCUUCCUGGAGCCCCAGCCUGCCCACCCACGUUGCAGAUUUUGGACUUACCGACCUCUCUAAACCAUGAGCCUAUUCCUUAUAAUACAUUUUUUUCUCUCUCUCUAUAUAUAUCCUAUUGAUUCUGUUUCUCGGGAGGAGGCCUACUACAGCCUGCUUCCUGCCAGAGCCUGGGUUGGUGCCCGCAUCCAUGCCCCCCGGCCAGGAGAGAGAGAGGCCUUGUACCCACUGUA